GGAGAGAGGCCCCAGAUAUGAGGAGGAAUGUGUGAAGGCCAGGUGAAAAGAGGGACACGCUGCCUGAUCGUGGGGGUGCGACGCCUAACCUGGAGACAGAUCGGCCGACGGGACAUGGCAACCCAGUCCUGACAGCAAGGAACGGCGACUCAGUUGCACUGCCCAUUACUGAGACAGCUCAGUAAUGCUGACUACUGCAGACUGGAAAAUGCACAUGAAAUACCGCCUCCACUCCUGUCGUUGGCUCCUACUCACCUGCUCCUUGUACCUGUACCGUCUCCCCGGAAGCGAGGUCGCCGUCAUGGCAAAUGGAGUGGAAGAUUGGUGAAGCUGAAGGCCUGUCUGGCGUUUGGUUCUGCUGUCCCUUGCGUUGCCUGUCGCCCCCCUUUUCCCUGGCAUCUUCGUAAGCCAUCCUAUGCGUAUCUGGUGCCACUUGCUGACUCUGAGCUGUUCCCGCCCGGCUGCUCCCUGCCUCCCUGUCCACGGAAGUGCGGAGUGAAUCUGCAAAACCUGCGACGUGGACAACUGCUGGUGAUUCCAGCGCCUUUGCAGAACUUUUGCCUUCAGACUGCUGCUAUUUUAAUGUCCCACGCACAUCUGGUUGGAGGUGGAGUUGCUACCAUCUUCAGAAAUCGCGACAAGUGUAAACAGGGCGCUGACGGGAGGGGAGCCGUGGUCGCAUCGCAUAACGGACUCGGGUGCAGAACGUGAGUUGGGCUGAGAUGUGAUGUGAAGGGACAAGAGGAGGAUAGGAGGCUCCUCCUCGUCUGCCGGAGACGAGGCUGGUGUGGACUCUGUUCCUGGCCUGCUGGUGGACCCAUAAUGAACAUGUGCUGUAAUUACAUCAGGGGAUUUUAGUGAAUGUUUGUAUUUUUAUGGCUUUUAGAAUUGUUUUAUUUAGUCUCAUGGGGAUUUUAGUAUAUCGACAAGAUUUUAUUAUAUACGUUUUUAGGAGGUGUUUUUAUUUGUGCUCCCUGGCCUGGAAAUACACAGUUUCCGAUCAGACCUGC
ensembl:lncRNA